UACGGAGGGGGCUAGCGUUGUUCGGAAUUACUGGGCGUAAAGCGCACGUAGGCGGCUUUGUAAGUUAGAGGUGAAAGCCCGGGGCUCAACUCUGGAAUUGCCUUUAAGACUGCAUCGCUCGAAUUGUGGAGAGGUAAGUGGAAUUCCGAGUGUAGAGGUGAAAUUCGUAGAUAUUCGGAAGAACACCAGUGGCGAAGGCGACUUACUGGACACAUAUUGACGCUGAGGUGCGAAAGCGUGGGGAGCAAACAGG
rnacentral:rRNA from 1 species